rfam:Triticum aestivum genome assembly, contig: Triticum_aestivum_CS42_TGACv1_scaffold_320515_4BL
UACUCCCUCCCUCCGUUCGGAAUUACUUAUCGCAGAAAUGGAUGUAUUUAGACGUAUUUUAGUUCUAAAUACAUCUAUUUUCGAGACAAGUAAUUCCGAACGAAGGGAGUACUUC